UUGUGGCAUGCUGGAAAUCGUAGUCUUUUAUAAAGCCGUUAAGCGUUAAGUGUCCAUUGAUAGAAUUUUACAGUUAGCUCUGGCAAAAUGAUUGGUCCUUAUUUCUCCCAAUUUUCUUUAUCGACUGCUUGAAAGUGAAAUCAAAGACUGUCGUGGCCGUCUCCACAGAGAAAAUAAGGAUGAAAACAAAGAUGGCAUCCAGUGAUGUUGCGAAGAUAUGAUAAAUGCUAUACAAAUACUGAUUAUCAUUAAUUUCCUGCCGCCCUGCAGAACAACUGGGAAUACAAAGGUAGAUCAAGUCUCUGCCAAGAAGAAACCUUCUAUCUGGUGGUGGAGAAAGAUGAUAAAGAAUCAUUCUAUGGAAGUAGCUUGGAAGGCUGGAACUAGGAAGUUACUGAAAUAUGGCCUUCUAAGUCCACGUGUGCCUUGCUGUCUCAGAAAUACACUGGAAAUUCCCAGCCUGAAGAGGACAACAGAAACAGUAGGGGAUCAGCAAUCCUGACCUGGCAGAAGCUCAGCCUCC